rnacentral:rRNA from 1 species
UGAGGUGAGAUCCUGUCGUUUCUCACGCAAGGUACUGCCAAGCGUUUGAGCGGCGGGCGCAUCACCGGCCCGUCCCAUGGCGUGGACACGGUCUUCGGGCUGUGCACCGUCGGGGCGGAGCAUGAGCGCACAUGUUGAGACCCGAAAGAUGGUGAACUAUGCUUGCGCAGGUUGAAGCCAGAGGAAACUCUGGUGGAGGACCGCAGCGAUUCUGACGUGCAAAUCGAUCGUCAAACGUGAGUAUAGGGGCGAAAGACUAAUCGAACCAUCUAGUAGCUGGUUCCCUCCGAAGUUUCCCUCAGGAUAGCUGGCAUUCAGAUAUACAAACAGUUUUAUCCGGUAAAGCGAAUGAUUAGAGGCAUUGGGGGCGAAACGUCCUCAACCUAUUCUCAAACUUUAAAUGGGUGAGAAGCUUGACUCGCGUGAAUGGAGUCUGGCCUUGAAUGUGAGUGCCAAGUGGGCCAUUUUUGGUAAGCAGAACUGGCGCUGUGGGAUGAACCAAACGUUCGGUUAAGGUGCCUAACACGACGCUCAUCAGAUACCACAAAAGGUGUUGGUUGGUCUAGACAGCAGGACGGUGGCCAUGGAAGUCGGAAUCCGCUAAGGAGUGUGUAACAACUCACCUGCCGAAUCAACCAGCCCUGAAAAUGGAUGGCGCUGGAGCGUCGGACCUAUACCGGACCGUCACUGCAAGCUGGAU